UACGGAUGGUGCAAGCGUUAUCCGGAAUUACUGGGUUUAAAGGGUGCGUAGGCGGUGAUAUAAGUCAGUGGUGAAAGGCCGUAGCUUAACUAUGGGAUUGCCAUUGAUACUGUAUGACUUGAAUCAGGUUGAGGUUGGUGGAAUGUGGCAUGUAGCGGUGAAAUGCUUAGAUAUGCCAUAGAACACCGAUUGCGAAGGCAGCUGACUGGACCUUUGAUUGACGCUGAGGCACGAAAGCGUGGGGAGCGAACAGGAUUAGAUACCCCUGUAGUCC
rnacentral:rRNA from 1 species